GCUGCGAUGGCAGAAUGGUUAAGGCGUUGGACUUGAAAUCCAAUGGGGUCUCCCAGUGCAGGUUUGAACCCUGCUCACAGCG